UGGGGGAUAUUGCACAAUGGGCGAAAGCCUGAUGCAGCGACGCCGCGUGGGGGAUGAAGGCCUUCGGGUUGUAAACUUCUUUUGCGCUGAACAAGGCGCACCAUGGGGUGUGUUGAGUGUAGGGGUUGAUUAGCGCCGGCUAACUACGUGCCAGCAGCCGCGGUAAUACGUAGGGCGCGAGCGUUGUCCGGAAUUAUUGGGCGUAAAGGGCUUGUAGGUGGCUGGUUGCGUCUGUCGUGAAAGCUCAUGGCUUAACUGUGGGUUUGCGGUGGGUACGGGCUGGCUUGAGUGCAGUAGGGGAGGCUGGAAUUCCUGGUGUAGCGGUGGAAUGCGCAGAUAUCAGGAGGAAUACCGGUGGCGAAGGCGGGUCUCUGGGCUGUUACUGACACUGAGGAGCGAAAGCAUGGGGAGCGAACAGG
rnacentral:rRNA from 1 species